AUAUGAUAAUCUUUAUUUUUUAAAAAAGAUUCAUUUUUAUUAU
rnacentral:tRNA from 1 species